CAUGAACAUAUUACCUGUUAGCAGAGAGAAGACUCAGGAGUCAGAGGCCAAAGUUCUGAAGCCCUAAGAGAUGAUGUGCUUUACCAGAGGACCGAGCAGAAACUUUGUAGACCACAAAGGAGUUACACGACACAAGUGAUGAAAGGAGAAAACUUACAAUCAACCCUACAAGGUUAUCAUUCACAAUGAAGGAGAGAUAGUUUCCGAAACAAGCAUAAGGACGACCAAACUGGAGAAGAAAACCAAGCUGUGGACCAAUGCCAUGAAAGAGGUAGAAGUCUCUUCUAGUUUUAUCAGAAGCAGAAUUGAGAUCCGGAGAAGACAUGUGAUGGGCUUAAGGACACCAUUGGACUCAGGUCAAGAAAUACUGACUUUUAUUCCAAUGAUUUUUACAUUUAAAAGCUCUCUUUGUCCCAUAUGCU